GCAGCCCGGAGCAGAUGAGGCAGCCGAGCGGAAAAAACUGCUCACUCAGGAUACAAAAAAACAAGGGUUUGAAAGCUGAGAAGAAAGAAAAAAAAUCCCCUUCGUCUCUUAUAUUGACGCAAUUUUACCACAGAAAGCAAUGGAGAGCGCAAGAAUAAGGUUUUGUGGACCAUUAUCAUCUGGGCUUCCGAGAAUCUAAUUCUUCUAAUGCUUGAAGGUACUGGAUAUCUUGUUUGGAUUGAUGGCUAUGUCUUGUACCCAUGCAGGGAGGCUGUUCAGUGCUGCCAAAGCAACCAGAGACUUGUCCGAGGUGAUAAGACCCUUGCACCCAUGGUAAUGAAGGUUCUUACUUCGGUACAGAGGAAGAAGCUGAUUAAUGAGUAAUUGUAUAUUGCUAUCGACUCACCCAAUAAAUAAACAUAUGCAACCAGUUCGCGAGCAAAGCGACCCAGCUGUAGAACACAACAACUGGCGAUGAGGAUAAACCACAACCAGUCGACGAUACCAAGGAAAGCCGCGAAAACUCAACUGUAGUGAAUCAGCUGUGCCUUGCAGGCCGAUUACAGAUAAACACGCAACCGGUUCACAAGCGAAGCGACCCCGGAGUAGAACAUAACAACUAGGUUAAAGUGAGGGCACAAGACUGGCACUAGGGGUUUCCACAGAUGAUUGAUAAUUCUGGAUGUUGAUUAUUACCAAGUACAAAGGAUCACUUGAUGGUGGAGAGUGGAAAAUGGCGAAGAAAUCUCGGUUGGCAGUAACUAAGAUGCAGAGAAGCACCAGGUGGCCCAUUACCCAAAGAUAGCAGCAGCUAACCGGCAGGGAACGAGCAUGGCUGCAUGUCCUCACUCCAUUGGAGGAGAUGAUGUUCGCCAUCAAUGGAGCAGUCAUCAUUAAGGUCGUGGCCAGUGGGGUUGAAGAUAAUGCAUGUCAACAGAGAUGGUAACUCCAGCAGCCAUAACUGGAAGCAAACGGUCUGAGCAGAACCCUAGAAAUCUGAACCAAGGCCUUCACCACUCCCUCCAGACUCCAGGAGGAAACUCGCAACACUUUGAGAAACUCAGCAGAAGUCAAUAGAAAUCAAUCAGAAACUAGCCUGAAAGUAAAAACUGAAAAUGCUGGAAAUACUCAACAGGUCUGGCAGCAUCUGUGGAGAGAAAAAUAGAGUCCCUCUUGCUGCUGAAUGGGAUGGUCAGCUGGGGGAGGUUAAUAAACGCCGUUAGCUGGAGCAUUGAGGAUAAAAAUGGCACCGCUGGAGUCAAAUCAGGGUUACACGCUGGUUGAAGUCACACUCUGCUUACUUUACAGACCUCUGGAACACACUGCUAACGCCUGUACUAAGAGACUCACCCAAAUGACGUCUAGCGCAGGCUGUACCAGAAGUGUGUGCAGCGCAGAUGCCAUUUUGCGCCCAAAACAGCACCUGUAGGGCCAAAAACAUGAGCGCUGACGAGCCAGAAUUUUUUGGCCCAGGUUUUUGAAAUUGAUAUUAACACCUUACUUAAAACUUUAAAUUCUGUGAAUACUUGCUGACUGUACCUCUUGAAUUCCUGUUGUCACAUUUCAUCACACAAUUUGGGGGAAUAUUAAUUCAUGCAGUUAAAAUGGAAUGGAUCCAUUUCCUGCCCAUACCCGUUCAUUUCUGACUUUUAACAUCAUUGGAUGGGUUGCCCACUGGACUUCGGCGGGAGCCUCAUGCACAAUUGCUUAUCACGUUCCUAAGAUGUCAGUAGGAUCCCAAUGACAUUUUAACUGGUAAGUAGGUAACCUCUUCAAUGUUUACUAGCUAGACUGAAGCAACUCAGCAGCUGCUGAGAAAGGCAAAGUGGCUGUCCCAGGAGAUGAGAAAGUCCUUUGUAGAACCAGAAGGAACAAUAAAAUCACUCUG